GCCCCUUGUCCUAUCAGUGGAUGUCCCUGAGAAGAGCCUGGCUCCAUCCUCCUGACACUGACCCUUUACAUAUUUAUAAACAUUAAUGAGGUUACCUCUCAGUCUCCUCUUCUCCAAAUGCUAUAUAUAAGAAUAAAUGUAUUGGUAAAUACAUAUAUAACCAGUAAAUUUUAAAAGUUAUAUUUAAAUAUGCUAUAAAUAUAUCUAUGUGUAAAUAUAUUACACUUAAAUACAUGCAUUUAUAAAAAUAUAAUGUCUCAGUCACCCCUCAUGACUGUCUUAAAAUAGAGGUUGUGUGGUAUGACAAUAUUACAAUUAGUGUAAAAAAAAAAAAAUUCUGGCAGCUUGAUAUUCCAGCAAUAGUUGUUCGUUGAUGGAAGCUGUGUGAUGGAUGCCUGAACUCGUGCUGUGUUAUAGCCAUCUCAUUUGAGGAAUGUUGUACUUUAUUUCUCAGGCCACAUAUGGAUGUAAUCAACGCUCACAACAAACUGGUAGAACUCCUAGUUCUAAGCCUUUUCCUUGAAGGCUGUCUUCACGGGAGCAUGUUUUUCAUUUCAGCUGAAAUGAAAAACCCAAGAAAACCCAAUAGUGUAUUCUGUGUUUGUAUUUUAGAUACAAGUUUGUUAAUGAUGUCUUGGGAGAUAUACUUAUGUUGUUCAUGAAUAUUCUCAAUGUUUUCUGGAGUAACAUCGUUCCGUAACUUCUAUCUUACCAUUUGCUGUCUAAUAUUUCGUGUCAUCAGAGGCUCUGUGAGCUUCUUAUGGUGACUCUGACUUUCACACUACUUCAUCUUCUUUCACGUGACUCUCUUUUUCUGCUAAUUCAUUCUGCUUCACGUUCAUCAAGGAUGUCAGUCAUUCCCAGGCCCUCAAGCCCAGCAAAAUUAUAAAAUGAGAUGCCAGUAAAAGUUAUACAAUUGGAGGAAAAUGAGGGAAGAGUUGACAAGGUGGAUCUAUGUGGCACCAAGGUGAAUCAGCAAUCCUGGGAGAAAUGAGAAAACAAGAAGGAACAAGCUCUUGCCCAGAUCAGGGUUCCAGUGCAUUCACACUUACUGCUGCAUCUUCGUCCAUAAAAUGUCGUGUCUUUUAGUAUGGAAGUCAGUGUAAUGUUCUCCCUCUGACAUAACUGGAUGGUGGCUCUGAGUCUCAAGAGUUGGUUUGUAAGCUAGGAAUGCUGCUCUGAAAGGUACCAUCCAUUAUUUCUUCAGUGUUGCUGUGGGGGAGAAAAUUGUUUGUCACCAUACAGCACCAAACUCAAUAUUUUUGUAGCAGUCUGUUACUCUGUCCCACUAUGAGCAUGCAUUUAUUUUCUCUUAAUUCUGCGCUUGCUCAUAAAAAUGUGGGAGGUGGGAAGGCGGUGUUCACUGUUUUCUUUCUUGUAUCUCUAAGAUAAGCAAAUGCAAUUUAAAAGACAGUUUAAUUCCAUGCCCUUCUUUCCACCUUAUUUUGCUCUUAUUUCUGUUGGCCAGCUUGUAGCAGAAUAAUGCAUGUAGGCGUCAAUUUUAUGCAUCUUUAAAUCCGAACUCUGUGGAUAAUACUUCAGUUUGAUGUGCAGCCUGGCCCAUAUUUGGGACUGGCCUAUCGUACCACAGCAAUUUAUUUAUCACGUUGUUUACUAAAUCAUUCAUAUACUUUGGAUGUGGCUGCCAACAAAGUUUAAACAGUGAUUUCAUUACCCAGAAGCAUCAGAUCCCAAUCAGGAAUAUGUCACGGGGUUGUCAUCCUCUGGCAUAGUUGGAGAGAAAAGGCAGAGCUUACAACUUAUCUGAAUUGCAAAAAAGGUAUCUUCACAAGGGAUGAUAUUUUGCCUUUAUUAUCACACAGAAUUUUCUAUCAACAAUCUUUAUGGUUCCAUUUUAAACUUACUUUUAUUCAUGGGAUAAAUGACCACAUCAUUAGUUAUUUGUCCUUAAUUCCCUACUUACCUGUCCUCUUCCUUGCCACCGCUAUGCAUUUCUGUCUUCUUAUCUUGGUACCUAAUUUAUCUGUUUCUUUCACACAUUUCUCUGGGCUUUCUUCCACUGCAGUCUUUGGUAUGGGAAUCUUUUCUUGACCUGGCACAUAAACUUGCUAAUUUUUCAGUCAUGACUUUUCUGAGGACUUAUUUCUGCUUUGAGCAAUUUCAGAAGUUUCUCUAAAAGGCAGUAGUUUUAAUUCUUGCUACAUAAACAAUUUAUUUUCAGCUCAUCUGCCACUGACAGUAGACUUCAUUGAUUAUUGCCUUGUGCUCCCGCUACUAGUCUUGUUCCUCUUGUUUCCUUACCUAUUUAUUACACUGUUUUAAGAGUUGGGAAGUGCUUUUGGACAGGGAUUAUGCCACUAUUUCUUCUGGGAAAUGAUGAACUUGUGAGCUGUGUCAUCAUCACUCUCUUCCUGAUAUUUGUCAACUUUAUGCUUUGCCUUUUUUUUUAACCCUAAUAAUAUACUUAACUCUUAAAAAGCUAAAGUUUACCUCAAGAAUUUGCUGUCAACUCUAAUGAAAAACACAGUUUUUCUGAGCAGAGAUUGCAGGACCAGUCCUGGGGUUUGUGGCACUCCCGGGCAGCAAAUUCCGAAAAGUCAUCUGGAGAGUUUCAGAAAAGUCUUCUGAAGAGGAAGUGAGGGAGCUGACGCAAGAAGAAGUUACUGUGAAGUGCAAAAUUUAUUUGAGCGUCCUGGGAAAGACUUUUCUCUCUUACCGGUAAAAGCACCUCCAUUUCUUUUUUGGUUCUUUUUCUUGGCCUUUUGUCAGGACUACAGUCAAUAGAUGUCGGCAAGCAGACACUGAUUUACCAUAACUCAGCCCCCAAUGCCUCCCAGCUGCAAGAAGCUUUUUAUGAGGGGCUUCAUGUAAACCAGAUACUCAUAUUGACCAUGAGUUCUUGUGGUGUGUGGAUUAUUAAUUUAAAUUGUUUUACAUUGUUCAAGAUUUUAAAUGUACUUUGAAGGAAUUAAAGUUUACAGUUGAAUUGUAA